rnacentral:misc_RNA from 1 species
CCGAGUUUACAACUCCCAAACCCCUGUGAACAUACCGUUUUCGUUGCCUCGGCGGGAGGCCCCGGGGGGUGGACGUCCGGCGCCCCGCGCGCCGCCGCCGCCCUCCCGGACCCCAUGGCUGCCCGCCGGAGGACCCCAAACUCUUGUUUUACCACACGUUUUCUUCUGAGUGAUGGCGAAAGCCGAAAAUCAAAUCA